GCGGGUGUAGUUCAAUGGCAGAACGUGAGUUUCCCAUACUCAAUACGAGGGUUCGAUUCCCUUCACCCGCUCCA
rnacentral:tRNA from 1 species